UUGUGUUAACAAGAUAUAAAAAAUAUGUACAACUUCAACUUUACUGUUCCACAUUUAUGACUUUAGUGUGCACAUGCAAAAUCUGCAGUUAAAUGUGCUCGCCACUUUUGCACCCAAUAUACCUUCAUAGACUUCAACUGUCACUUUUCUGUCCUGUCAUGCAUCUGACUUUGUAAGCUGUACAAACUCUGCUGUCAUCAUAUCCAAGGUGGUGAUUUGUGAGGACUGCUGCCCUGAGAACACUGAGUGCAUUCUGCCAAAUCAAUGUGUGCCACUUCCAUACAG